GCUGGGCAUGGUGGCGCGUGCCUGUAAUCCCAGCUACUUGGGAGGCUAAGGCAGGAGAAUUGCUUGAACCCAGGAGGUGGAGGUUGCAAUGAGCCGAGAUCGUGCCACUACAUUCCAGCCUGGGUGACAGAGCAAGACUCUGUCUAGA
ensembl:misc_RNA Metazoa_SRP Metazoan signal recognition particle RNA